rnacentral:rRNA from 1 species
GGAAUUCGAUUCGGUGUGACAAGGCCCGGGAACGUAUUCACCGCGGCGUGCUGAUCCGCGAUUACUAGCGAUUCCAACUUCAUGGAGUCGAGUUGCAGACUCCAAUCCGAACUGAGAGCGGCUUUUUGGGAUUGGCUCCCCCUCGCGGGUUUGCGACCCUUUGUACCGCCCAUUGUAGCACGUGUGUGGCCCUGGACAUAAAGGCCAUGCUGACUUGACGUCAUCCCCACCUUCCUCCGGUUUAUCACCGGCAGUCUCCUCAGAGUGCCCAGCUUGACCUGAUGGCAACAGAGGACGAGGGUUGCGCUCGUUGCGGGACUUAACCCAACAUCUCACGACACGAGCUGACGACAGCCAUGCAGCACCUAUACAGACGCCCUUGCGGGAGCCGACUUUCAUCGGUUGUCAUCUGCAUUUCGAGCCCAGGUAAGGUUCUUCGCGUUAAUCACUA